GAUCUUUAUUUUUAUAUAAUUAUAAAAAAAAAGAAAAUUUAAAUUUUAUAUUUAUAAAAAAAAUUUUACUGGGGUGGUGUUAAAAUUUAAUAAACUUUUAAAAUUUUUGACAUUAAUUUAUGAAUAAUUGAUCCAAUUUUAUUGAUUAAAAAAUUAAGUUACCUUAGGGAUAACAGCGUAAUUUUUUUUAAGAGUUCUUAUCGACAAAAAAGAUUGC
rnacentral:rRNA from 1 species